CCUACGGGAGGCUGCAGUGAGGAAUAUUGGUCAAUGGACGAGAGUCUGAACCAGCCAAGUAGCGUGAAGGAUGACUGCCCUAUGGGUUGUAAACUUCUUUUAUAUGGGAAUAAAAUGUUCCACGUGUGGGAUUUUGUAUGUACCCUAUGAAUAAGGAUCGGCUAACUCCGUGCCAGCAGCCGCGGUAAUACGGAGGAUACGAGCGUUCUCCGGAUUUAUUGGGUUUACAGGGAGCGUUGGUGGCGUGUUAAGUCAGUUGUGAAAGUUUGCGGCUCAACCGUAAAAUUGCAGUUGAAACUGGCAGUCUUGAGAAGAGGAGAGGUAGGCGGAAUGCGUGGUGUAGCGGUGAAAUGCUUAGAUAUCACGAAGAACUCCGAUUGCGAAGGCAGCGCACUGGACUGCAACUGACACUGAGGCUCGAAAGUGUGGGUAUCAAACAGGAUUAGAUACCCCUGUAGUC
rnacentral:rRNA from 1 species